AUUGAACGCUGGCGGCAGGCUUAACACAUGCAAGUCGAGCGUGCGGCGGACGGGUGAGUAAUGUCUGGGAAACUGACUGUUGGAGGGGGAUAAAUCCUGGAAACGGUAGCUAAUACCGCAUACCCUCAGAUGUGCCAAGAUGGGAUUAGCUAGUCGGUGGGGUAAUGGCUCACCUAGGCGACGAUCCCUAGCGGGUCUGAGAGGAUGACCAGCCACGAUGGAGCUGAGGCACGGUCCAGACGCCUACGUGAGGCAGCAGUGGCGAAUAUUGCACGAUGGGGGCAAGCCUGAUGCAGCCAUGCCGCGUGUGUGAAGAAGGCCUUCGAGUUGUGGAACACUAUCAGAGAGGAGGCGUUACUCGCAGAAGAGGCACCGGCUCACUCCGUGCCAGCAGCCGCGGUAAUUC
rnacentral:rRNA from 1 species